AACUACUCAGUGAUGACUUUCUCUUCCUCUAGCUAAGGUCAUAAGACCCUAAUUCCAGAGGGCCCUACCCUAUAACCAGAAGGAAGAACUAUUGCACAGAGAAUCUAAGAAGAAUCUAGACAGACAGCCCUUGCUGGAUUUCUCCACUCUGUUAGCAUUCGAUCAUUUGCCUUUUGUCCAGUCAUAUUUCUGCAUGGCUGUCCAUACUUUGUUGAACCUAAGCACAAAAUGGAAAGUUUUCCCUGUAUCUUUGGGUCGUCAUUCUGAAGGCUCCCAUGUUAUGUAAAACUAUGAUCAAAUAAAU
rnacentral:lncRNA from 10 species